AAAAACACAGCACUCUGCAAACACGAAAGUGGACGUAUAGGGUGUGACGCCUGCCCGGUGCCGGAAGGUUAAGUGAUGGGGUGCAAGGUAGCGAAAUUCCUUGUCGGGUAAGUUCCGACCUGCACGAAUGGCGUAACGAUGGCCACACUGUCUCCUCCUGAGACUCAGCGAAAUUGAAGUGGUUGUGAUGAUGCAAUCUACCCGCGGCUAGACGGAAAGACCCCAUGCACCUUUACUGUAGCUUUGCAUGGGACUGUGAACCGGUCUGUGUAGGAUAGCUGGGAGGCUUUGAAGCGGGGACGCCAGUUCCCGUGGAGCCGUCGUUGAAAUACCAGCCUGAUCUGUUCGCGGUUCUAACCUAGGCCCGUCAUCCGGGUCGGGGACAGUGCAUGGCAGGCAGUUUGACUGGGGCGGUCUCCUCCUAAAGGGUAACGGAGGAGCUCGAAGGUACGCUAGGCACGGUCGGAAAUCGUGCUGAUAGUGCAUUGGCAAAAGCGUGCUUGACUGCGAGACUGACACGUCGAGCAGGUGCGAAAGCAGGACAAAGUGAUCCGGUGGUUCUGUAUGGAAGGGCCAUCGCUCAACGGAUAAAAGGUACGCUGGGGAUAACAGGCUGAUUCCGCCCAAGAGUUCACAUCGACGGCGGAGUUUGGCACCUCGAUGUCGGCUCAUCACAUCCUGGGGCUGUAGCCGGUCCCAAGGGUAUGGCUGUUCGCCAUUUAAAGUGGUACGUGAGCUGGGUUUAAAACGUCGUGAGACAGUUUGGUCCCUAUCUGCCGUGGGCGCUGGAGAUUUGACGGGGCCUGCUCCUAGUACGAGAGGACCGGAGUGGACGCACCUCUGGUGUACCGGUUGUGACGCCAGUCGCAUCGCCGGGUAGCUAAGUGCGGAAGAGAUAACCGCUGAAAGCAUCUAAGCGGGAAACUCGCCCGAAGAUGAGAUCUCCCCGGAGGCCAGACCUCCCUGAAGGGUCGCGGAAGACCACCGCGUUGAUAGGCCGGGUGUGGAAGCGCAGCAAUGCGUUGAGCUAACCGGUACUAAUUGCCCGUGAGGCUUGAUCCU
rnacentral:rRNA from 1 species